AAAAAAAAAACUCAAGAUUACAUUUUUCAUUUGAUUUACUUUCACUCCCUUCCAUUCCACUCCUUAAAUUAACUUAAGAUCAGGAUAUAAGUCUUUAUCCUGAUUCCCUGUCACAGACACAGAUACUACUGAAGAAACCAGCAGUAUCAAAUGGGAAGCUACCACUUUCUUAAUACUAAAUAUCCUUAAACUCAAAUCUUUCGGCGAACCACCUUAGCCGCUUUCUCUGGAUACUAUGCAGGAAAACCAAUCUUGACGAUUAGAUAUAUGACAAGCUGUUGCAGAAAGCGAUGAAAGAAGGGUGUAUGAUGUGAUGAGCAAAUUGAGGAAUACAACACAGACAGAACCACCGUCGGAAUCUGAAGAUGCACCGCCGCCACCAAAGGGAUUUGGUGGUUUGAUUUGGUUGAAAUGUUGAAGAACAUAGCGUGGUUGUGUGUAGUUGUACAUAUUACCUAUCUAUGUGGUAUGAUUUAGUUCAUAUGGUAAUGAAGAUGGUGUUGGUUUUUUUGACUGUUUGAUUGUAAAUGUGAUGUAUUUGGACUGAAAAAUGAGAUUUUUCUGUUAGUAAUUUGGACCUCGAAA